AUGUCCUGCAGUUUCAUCCAGGUUGUUGCAAAUGAUAGGAUUUCCUUGUGUGUGUGUGUUUUUUUAAAUGGCUUAAUAUUAUUCCAUUGUAUUUACAUCUUUUUAUACACAAUUUUACUUGCAGGCAGAGUGUUGAACACAUCCCUCAUGAAAGUGUGGAGCAGGGGGUAGCCUGCCACUGGGUGGGAGAGUGUGUGUGAGUGAGGUGCACAGAGUGUUGAGGUUAUUGAAGGUGAGGCCUCCUUAGCAGUUCAGGUGUGGACUUGAUGCUGUCCUCAAAAUGGUUAGUUGGAUCCAUGUUACUUUGACACGUCUCUGGCUCUGGCAGCCUCUCCCUGCCCCUCAGUUGUACAUUCAUCUCAGUACCCCUAGAUGGAGCAGGAAAGAAGUGGGUCCUUUUCGCAGUAUACUAUCCAGCUGGGGAAGCUGAGUACUCACUCGCGUGCACUCAAACAUUCCGUGGUGGGAGAAAUUGCUGGCGAGAGAUCCUAAGCUAUACCACCUUGGGGGAGGGGGUAAUGUGGUCCUUUUACUUCUACAUCUAAUCCCUGUUUUAUUUUGCCCCCGUAGCGUACUGGAGCUUCUCUGCUGGACUCUGGAGUUUUACAAAAGCCUUCUUCUCGGUAGGUGAUUGUCCUAGUCAGUUGGUCUUUGGAGAAAUGGCAGUAGAAAACUCUUCUGCCAUCUUGCUGAUGUCAUUUCAAUUAACCUUUAAAAAGAUUAAAAUUGAGAGAAAAAUGUCCUUAACAUUUAGCCAUGUGUUUUACAUUGUAGGCCUCUAUGGCUUUUUGUAGUUACAAAUUUCCAUUUGAUGUUUUUCUUCUCCUGGAAGAACUUUAAUAUUUCUCAUGAGAUAAGUCAGAGAAAGACAAAUACUGUGUGAUAUCACUUAUAAGAAGAAUCGGAGUAAACCAAAUUCAUAGAAACAGAGUAAAAUCUUGGUUACCAGAGGAUCAUAGGUGGAUGGAUAGGAAAGAUGUUUAAGAGGACACACUUGCUACCAAGUAGUUAAAUAAGUCGUAGAGAAUUAAUGCUUAGUACUGAGACUAUAGAUAAUAUUGUUAAAAUCAUCAAACUUGCUAAGAAACAAGCUCAAUUAUUCCAACCACUAAAAAGAAAAUAGUUAUAUAAUGUGAUAAAGGUGAUUAUUGCUACAAAGGCAACUGUAUUACAAUAUGAAUUGCACACCUUAAAUUUACACGAUGUUAUAUGUCAAAUAUAUUUUUGCUGAAGUAUCAGUUCAGUUAAGUCACUCCGUCGUGUCCGACUCUUUGAGACCCCAUGAAUCGCAGCACGCCAGGCCUCC
rnacentral:lncRNA from 1 species